AAAUAGGCAUAAUUUAUUGAUUAAUAUAAAUGCUACCAUAUCAUGUGGAAUACAAAUCAAAAUGUAGCAACUCCAGAAAAUAUUUGGUAAAACAUGGACCAUGAAUUUACAACUUUGAUCUCUUUAUGGCUACUCUUGGCAUUUGAAUUUAGAAAUUUCAAAUUCAGAGGCAAAUUUGAACGUGUGUCAACCUAGACAGUUGCAUAA
rnacentral:misc_RNA from 1 species